CGAAACACUUUUACAAGUGUGAUGGGUGACACCUGUAGGGUGUGGCUCUUCCAUUAAGGCCCCUUUAAAUAGGAGUGGGCGGGGCUGCCCAGCAGUGCCAGAUUCUUGUGGGUGGCCAGGUUGACUGCUGGGCCCACGCUGUUUGUGCGGCAGCUGUAAGCCAUUGGGGGCUGCAGUAUCUGAAGGUAGACCUACAGGGUAAAUGACUGAGUGUGGGUCCUCGAUACCACAUUCAUCAUACCGCUACCUGCUGUCCUUUUUAUAUUGUGUUUUUAGUUUGUUUUACUCCAGUUAGUCU